GGCAGGCGGCUUUUGUGUGUCCCCUCUGCUGGCUCUUGUUUUUUCCAGGGGCUCUGCGUGCCUCUGCGUGAGAAAACUCAUCGCGUUGUGUCGCGUUGAACAACAGAGACGGAGGGAAAAUAAUGACAGAGCCCUACCCGUCCCCAGGACACUUCUCCGCCCUGGGUUGUGGCUCUUUUGUCUGUCGUGCCUGAGUGAAGAGCGAGGUGGCCCCGGCUCCCUCUGCGUGGGGACAAACAAUGGUGAAACCGCACAGGCUUGUAAGAGUGUGGAAGUCGUUAAUUUUGUCAGCUAUAAAUAUCUUUAUUACUGCGUUUGAAGUCAGUGAAGCUAAUAUGGGACUUCAUAGCUGUGUAAAUAACCUGUGUUCAGGAGCAGUCUGUAUAUUAUUGCCAGUUUCUAAGUUUCACCAGGAGCAUCACGGCUUUCUUUGGUGCAUUAAUACACAAUGCUGAUAAUGAAAUUAUGGUUCCCACUAACAUAAAUAGGAGCAGACCUUAUCAGGCACCUUUUCCUUUCCCAAUGAUAGCUUUAUAGCUUUGCCUUCUGUCCUAGAAAAGGGUCUGUCAAAGCAUACAGGCUGCUUGGAGGGAAAUUUAGAAAGGCAGGUACCAUCAGAGCAGUCUGUUUUGACAACCAGAGACUUGAGUUUGUCACUCACUUAUGAGCUGCAGGAACCUUCAUCAAGAUAAGUGGGAAGUAACUUCUAUGGUUUCUGGUGUUUCGUUGUUUAUUUUUGUGAGGUUUUUUGUCAGCUUUGUAUCCAAACUAGCUUAGUUUAAAGCUAAAUAAUUUAGAAAUUUUUGAUGGGAUUGCUAUAUGCUGGUAAUUUAAAAAACUAAUGUUCCAGUGAACAGAUGGACGUUUAAAUCUGGAAAUUGCAGACAUUAAUAUGGCAGAGUUUAAUUUAGGGGCAUCUUGAGACAUGUAUUAUUAUGUAAAAGUGCUCAUGCUAAAGCAAAUGAAGAGAAAUGAGCAGGAUUGCUUUUGGAAACUUCUGACGUGUUGCCAGUGAUUCACCAGCAGUCUGGAUGGAAGCCAUUAUCAAUCUUGGUUGAAUUAAGCAUCACAGAAGUUGAGAUUCAGUGAGUGUGUAUAUUAAAAUAAUGCUUUACUUACUUUGUAUGUGGUUCAGAAGUCUUGGGUGACACAAGUGCUGACUACCUUUGAUAGUGAUGGCAAAGACUGACAUCCCAUUUAAUUGGGGUCUCUAUCUCUUAACUAACCGGUGCUGUAAAAGGGUUUUUCAUGAUACUUAGAAAAUUGACCUUUCCCAGUCUGUAAUAUGUAGUGAUAGGAAGGAUAAUUACCUUUGUUUUUUUUUUUAUUCCGCACCAAGAAUUAUGGUUUACAUGCUGGAUACUUGAGGAAAAAAAGUUUCAUCCAUUUGAAAGAACUUUUGGAGUCACAGCUUUCCAAUGGUAUGACGUGUAAAGCUGAAUUAGAAAGAAAGAACUCACCUGCAUGUAGGUUUCCAAACUACCCAAGAAUCUCAGAACAGUGAUGCAGAAGCCACUAUAAAGUAUCUUUUAAGCAGGUGACCUUUAUAAAACUUUGUAAUUUUUUGCAAAGCCUACUCAUUGUUUAAAAUUCUUUUGUAUUUUGAAAUUAAUGUCUUGCACUGUACUAGGUAAUGAAUGUGAAACCAUUAUCAUACAGGAAUAAAGAUAUAAUAUGCUCCUAUUGUGAAAGAUCAUUGUAUAAACAUGCUGCACCAACUGAAAUUUCAAUAUGACCUUCAAGAUUCCAUGUAGGCUCUGUUACAGUAAUGUAGUCUGAAGUCUAGGGACUCUGAUAACUGAGAAAGAAAACCACAAAUGUUUACUUACGUUAUAUUACUUUCCUUUCUGUGCAGAGAUUCCACAGUGUGCCCCAAAUUAGGUGCAGUUCCCAUCACUGAGUGUGACCACUUGUUUUUCUGAAGAAGUGCAUCUCUUGAUAAUUAUCUUUUGCAUCAGUUUCAUUUUCUUUGUUACCAGUACAGUAAAAGUUGAAAUGGUAUUAGAUUUCCAAGGGCUAACUGAUUUCCUAAUGAGGUUUAUUUGUGGAAGUGUGUUAAUGGGCAAGAAGGUGCAAAAGUCCUGAUCGUUUAUUAUAAAUAGAUUUUUCUGAUAUAAAAAUAAUUUCUGGUUAGAAGGCUUGAGGAAACAGCUUUCCUGUUACUGCAUGGUAGCAACAUAUUUGGUGCUAUCAGCUGAAGAAGAAAGAGAUUUUGGUGAUAGAAAUAGC
rnacentral:lncRNA from 1 species